rnacentral:rRNA from 1 species
CAGUAGCCGCGGUAAUACGAAGGGUGCAAGCGUUAAUCGGAAUUACUGGGCGUAAAGCGCGCGUAGGUGGUUCAUUAAGUUGGAUGUGAAAGCCCUGGGCUCAACCUGGGAACUGCAUCCAAAACUGGUGAGCUAGAGUACGGUAGAGGGUAGUGGAAUUUCCUGUGUAGCGGUGAAAUGCGUAGAUAUAGGAAGGAACACCAGUGGCGAAGGCGACUACCUGGACUGAUACUGACACUGAGGUGCGAAAGCGUGGGGAGCAAACAGGAUUAGAUACCCGCGUAGUCCCUGUCUCUUAUAC